UUGGAGGGCAAGUCUGGUGCCAGCAGCCGCGGUAAUUCCAGCUCCAAUAGCGUAUAUUAAAGUUGUUGCAGUUAAAAAGCUCGUAGUUGAAUUUCGGGGUCAGUAGGUUGGUCAUGCCACAGGUAUGUACUGGUCUCACUGAUUCCUCCUUCCUGAUGAACUGUAAUGCCAUUAAUUUGGUGUUGCAGGAAAUCUGGACUGUUACUUUGAAAAAAUUAGAGUGUUUAAAGCAGGCUAACGCCUGAAUACAUUAGCAUGGAAUAAUGAAAUAGGACGUUCGAUCCUAUUUUGUUGGUUUCUAGGAUUGACGUAAUGAUUAAUAGGGAUAGUUGGGGGCAUUAGUAUUCAAUUGUCAGAGGUGAAAUUCUUGGAUUUAUUGAAGACUAACUACUGCGAAAGCAUUUGCCAAGGAUGUUUUCAUUAAUCAAGAACGAAAGUUAGGGGAUCGAAGACGAUCAGAUACCGUCGUAGUCUUAACCAUAAACUAUGCCGACUAGGGAUCGGAUGAUGUUAAUUUUUUAAUGACUCAUUCGGCGCCUUACGGGAAAC
rnacentral:rRNA from 2 species